rnacentral:lncRNA from 1 species
AGAUUUGUAAUUACUUUUAAAUUUAUUUUCUUUUGAGAAAGGUGGAGACCUGUAGAAAUUGAUUAGAUUUGUAGUUAGUUUUAAAUUUAUAUUUUUUUAAAAAAGGUAGCAUGCUGCUGUCUAAAAAUGUAAAGCAAUUAUACUUCAAACUUGAGACCUCAGGUACCAACCACCAUACUCUUUACUAUUUGUGUUAGGGACGGUCGGUGUAGUUUUAAUUAGAUUAGAAUAAUAGUUAAAUAUGUUGAAGAUAAAUCGUGUAAGAUUUGAAUCUGAAUAAAAGUAAGAUUCCUAAAUGCACUAGAAUUGGGUGACGGUUUAGAUG